AUAUAGGAUCAGUCUCAGGCCCUGAACCUGGCAACCCUACUCCCCACUGCUAUGAGGACAUUAUAAAUAACAUUAACAAUAGUGAUAUUUUUGCCUGGGAAACUAUCAAACCGGAUAAAAGCAGAAGAUAGUGGGAAACAAACAAACAUGGAACAAAUGGCUUGUCAGAAUUCAGAGGGUUGCCAAAUCCUAUGGAGCAGAUGUUGGGGAUGCACAGUGAAAGUAGAGGAAGAAGUCCUGUUGUAUGAUGGAACUUUAUUUACACAGUGUUGGAUACAACUCAUAGUGUGGAGGCACAUAUUGGUCAGUACCUGUGACAUCGUUGGCAGACAGGGUUUUGAAUUGGAGCACAGAAGAUUAUGGAAAGGACUAUCAUAGAAAAAGGCUCAGUCCUCCCCGCUC